rnacentral:snoRNA from 1 species
UCAUUAUGAUGAAUUAAAUUCUUUGGUCCAUGUUUCCGAGGUGGUUCAAGACCCACCAAAUGAGUAAAACUAGAAAGGUGCUACGGCAUCRUCUCUGAUUGA